UACGGAGGGGGCAAGCGUUGUUCGGAAUUACUGGGCGUAAAGGGCGCGUAGGCGGCCUGUUAAGUCGAACGUGAAAUCCCUGGGCUCAACCCAGGAACUGCGUCCGAUACUGGCAGGCUUGAAUCCGGGAGAGGGAUGCGGAAUUCCAGGUGUAGCGGUGAAAUGCGUAGAUAUCUGGAGGAACACCGGUGGCGAAGGCGGCAUCCUGGACCAACACUGACGCUGAGGAGCGAAAGCCAGGGGAGCAAACGGG
rnacentral:rRNA from 1 species